rnacentral:tRNA from 1 species
GGGGAAGUGGCUCAUUGGUUAACAGCAUUGGCUGCUUUUCCAGAGUACCUGGGUUCACUUCCCAGCACUCCCA